AUGUGGCAAGAGUGAUGAAUCAAUUAGAUGUCCGAGACAGAUGUAUCUGUUUCUGAGUGUUAAAACCUGAGGCAUAUAUUCUUCUGACUUGCCCCAU